GCCUUCGUGGUAUAGUGGUCAGCACACUCGAUACGUAAUCGAGAGGUCUGUGGUUCGAUUCCCGUCAAAGGCG
rnacentral:tRNA from 1 species